GCCUAUAGCUCAGUUGGUAGAGCCCCCGGCUCAUAACCGGUAGGUCACAGGUUCGAAUCCUGUUGGGCCC
rnacentral:tRNA from 1 species